rnacentral:SRP_RNA from 1 species
CGACUGUUGUAUGUAUCUGUUGUCUGGGAGGGAUUCCUCCCAAACAACUGGUGUAUGAAGCGGUCAUCCGGGAGGAUCCCUCCCGGUCAACUGUUGUAUGGGGCCGUCAUCCGGGAGGGAGGCCUCCUGGACGACAUUUGGUUGACCGGUGUGUUACACAUGUUGUUGACUGGGAGGGAUUCCUCCUAGUC